rnacentral:rRNA from 1 species
UGCCUAACACAUGCAAGUCGAACGCUAUCUUUGAUAGAGUGGCGCACGGGUGAGUAACGCGUGGGAACCUGCCUUUUUCUGCGGGACAACGGUUGGAAACGACCGCUAAUACCGCAUACGCCCUACGGGGGAAAGGUCCGCCGGUGAAAGAGGGGCCCGCGUUUGAUUAGCUUGUUGGUAGGGUAAUGGCCUACCAAGGCGACGAUCAAUAGCUGGUCUGAGAGGAUGAUCAGCCACACUGGGACUGAGACACGGCCCAGACUCCUACGGGAGGCAGCAGUGGGGAAUAUUGGACAAUGGGGGCAACCCUGAUCCAGCAAUGCCGCGUGUGUGAUGAAGGCCCUAGGGUUGUAAAGCACUUUCACUGGUGAAGAUGAUGACGGUAACCAGAGAAGAAGCCCCGGCUAACUUCGUGCCAGCAGCCGCGGUAAUACGAAGGGGGCGAGCGUUGUUCGGAAUUACUGGGCGUAAAGGGCGCGUAGGCGGCUCUUUAAGUUAGGCGUGAAAGCCCCGGGCUCAACCUGGGAACUGCGCUUAAGACUGAAGAGCUAGAAAAUGGAAGAGGGUAGUGGAAUUCCCAG